rnacentral:rRNA from 1 species
AGAGUUUGAUCCUGGCUCAGGACGAACGCUGGCGGCGUGCCUAAUACAUGCAAGUCGAGCGGACCCUUCGGGGUUAGCGGCGGACGGGUGAGUAACACGUAGGCAACCUGCCUGUAAGACUGGGAUAACUUCGGGAAACCGGAGCUAAUACCGGAUAAUCUUUCCCCUCACAUGAGGGGAAACUGAAAGACGGUUUCGGC